rnacentral:sRNA from 1 species
GCCGGGCGUGGUGGCUCAUGCCUGUAAUCCCAACAGCUCAGGAGGCUGAGACAGGAGAAUCAGGAGUUCAAAGCCAGCCUCAG